UUCCACGCCCUAAACGUUGCAGACUAGCUAUCGGGAGCAUCGACCCUUUCGGUGGCGUAGCUAACGCGUUAAGUCUGCCGCCUGGGAAGUACGAUCGCAAGAUUAAAACUCAAAGGAAUAGGCGGGAGCUCGCACAAGCAGUGGAUCAUGCGGUUUAAUUCGACUCUAACCGAGGAACCUCACCAGGGUUAGAAAUCCAGUAGAAAUCCUUAGGAAACUUUGGACCCCGAAAGGCUGCUGGACAGGUGCUGCACGGCUGUCGU
rnacentral:rRNA from 1 species